AGAGUUUGAUCAUGGCUCAGGACGAACGCUGGCGGCGCGCCUAACACAUGCAGGUCGAGCGAGAACCGGGACUUCGGUCCCGGGGGCAGCGGCGAACGGGUGCGUAACACGUGAGCAACCUGCCCCGAAGACCGGGACAACCCGAGGAAACUCGGGCUAAUACCGGAUGCCCUCACCGGAUCGCAUGGUCCGGCGAGGAAAUGGAUUCCGCUUCGGGAUGGGCUCGCGGUCUAUCAGCUUGUUGGUGGGGUAACGGCUCACCAAGGCGACGACGGAUAGCUGGUCUGAGAGGACGAUCAGCCACACUGGGACUGAGACACGGCCCAGACUCCUACGGGAGGCAGCAGUGGGGAAUCUUGCGCAAUGGGGGAAACCCUGACGCAGCGACGCCGCGUGCGGGAUGAAGGCCUUCGGGUUGUAAACCGCUUUCAGCAGGGACGAAAUUGACGGUACCUGCAGAAGAAGGCCCGGCCAACUACGUGCCAGCAGCCGCGGUAAUAC
rnacentral:rRNA from 1 species